AUGCAGGACUCCAUUACUUGGAAACUCACGGCUGAUGGCCAUUACUCUGCGGCCUCAGCAUACAGAGCUCAGUUUCUUGGAUUGGUGGAUACGGAUAUGAAUCAAAAUGUUUGGAAGAACUGGGCGCCCCCAAAGUGCAAAUUUUUCGCGUGGCUGGUUAUCAACAAUAGGAUUUGGACAGAUGACAGACUCCACCGCUGCGAAUGGCUAAACUGCAACCUCUGUCCAUUAUGCCAUCAAGUCCAGGAAUCGGCGGCCCACCUUCUCUUUCAAUGUCGAUACACCAUUCAGGUUUGGGGCAUGAUCAAAACUUGGCUUGCGCUCGAUGAUGUCCAGCCCAACGAUUGGAUUGAUAUGGUUUCAGUUAAGGAUUGGUGGAGUCAGAAUGCCACUAAGCAAACUCUAUCGAGAAGGCCGCUUAUCUCCCUGAUGAUGCUUAUCUCCUCGGAAAUAUGGAAGGAGUGAAACGCUAGAGUUUUCCGCAACACAGUCGUUUCAGUGGGAGUGUUGGUCGCCAAGAUUAAAGAGGAAUGCUCGCUUUGGAGCCUUGCGGGAGCAAAACAUUUGUGUAACAUUAUGUCGUGA
rnacentral:rRNA from 1 species